UGAGGAAUAUUGGUCAAUGGGCGAGAGCCUGAACCAGCCAAGUCGCGUGAAGGAAGACGGCCUUAUGGGUUGUAAACUUCUUUUGCAGGGGAAUAAAAAGGAGUACGUGUACUCUAUUGCAUGUACCCUGCGAAUAAGCAUCGGCUAACUCCGUGCCAGCAGCCGCGGUAAUACGGAGGAUGCGAGCGUUAUCCGGAUUUAUUGGGUUUAAAGGGUGCGCAGGCGGGCUUUUAAGUCAGCGGUGAAAUCUGGUCGCUUAACGAUCAAACUGCCGUUGAAACUGGGAGUCUUGAGUAUAGAUGAAGUAGGCGGAAUUCGUUGUGUAGCGGUGACAUGCUUAGAUAUAACGAGGAACUCCGAUUGCGUAGGCAGCUUACUAAACUAUAACUGACGCUCAAGC
rnacentral:rRNA from 1 species